rnacentral:rRNA from 1 species
GACAGAGGUGCCAAGCGUUAGGCGGAAUCACUGGGCUUAAAGCGUGUGUAGGCGGAUCGUUAAGUGCCUUGUGAAAUCCCACGGCUUAACCGUGGAACUGCUCGGCAUACUGGCGGUCUUGAGCCAGCUAGGGGCUACCGGAGCAAAUGGUGGAGCGGUGAAAUGCGUAGAUAUCAGGAGGAACACCGGUGGUGUAGACGGCUUUCUGGACCGUAACUGACGCUGAGACACGAAAGCGUGGGGAGCAAACAGG